rnacentral:rRNA from 1 species
GUUUUUUAGAAUUUUUUUUAAAAAUUUAAUCUGCCCAAUGAUUUUUAAAUGGCUGCGGUAAAUUGACCGUACAAAGGUAGCAUAGUAAUUAGUCUUUUAAUUGGAGUCUGGAAUGAAUGAUUGGAUGAGAAAAUUACUUUCUUUAAUUUUUUAUUAUUUUAAUUUAAUUUUUGAGUGAGAAAGCUUAAAUUUUUUUUUGGGACGAUAAGACCCUAUAGAUCUUUAUUUUUUAUUUAUUUAUUAAUUUUUGGAUUAUUUAAAUUUUUUUAUAUUUAUAAUUAGUUGGUUGGGGUGACAGUAAAAAUUUACUUAUCUUUUAUUUUUAUUUUCAUUUAUAUAUGAUUUAUUUGAUCCUUUAUUAUUGAUUAAAAGAAAUAGUUACCUUAGGGAUAACAGCGUAAUUUGUUUGUAGAGUUCUUAUCAAUAAAUAAGUUUGCGACCUCGAUGUUGGAUUAAGAUUAGGGGAGGGUGAAGAUUUUCUUUAUUCUAGGUCUGUUCGACCUUUAAAUUCUUACA